rnacentral:tRNA from 1 species
CUUUAGCUCAGUUGGUUAGAGCAUCUGACUGUUAAUCAGAGGGUCCAAGGUUCGAGUCCUUGA